GCGUCAGGUAUUUCCGCUGACGUCACGCGCCGCCGCCGCCACUUCCGGCGCCGUCGGCUGGAGUCCGGGCAGCUCCGUGUACCCCGCACCGGGAGGGCCGGCUCGCUGAAGGAGCGAUGGGCGGGCCGGGAUUGGAGGCGAGCGCAGAUCGAAGGUGCGGUAGGGGCUCCGUGAGGAGCGGGGAUAUGGCGAAGGUGGGAAUGAAGACGUGCUUCCUAGGCCGAGGUCUCUCGGGCCAUAAUCCACCCCCCUUGCUCCGAAACCAAACUGGAGACGUCUAAGCGCCGGCAUCCUUGGUCUCUGCGGAGUGACUGGGUCCCAGCAGGGCUGGUAGGAGGGCGAGGGGCUUGGGAAACCAGGUCGUGAUGUGUUAAGUAAAAGGAUUUGGAUUUUACCCUGGAAGCCCUGGAGAGUGUAACAGGCGCUUCCUUUGCGUUCCCACCGCAGCCUGUGCAUCCCUCCAUCAGUAACACAACAGGGCAUGGGACCACGCCGCCUCCUCCAUGACUCUCCGGUGCUAAGCACAUUUUGCUUCAGUGAACAGACCGAAGUUUCAGUCCAGGCGACACCAUUCACUAGAUGUAUAAUCUAGGGCAGGUACUCCACUUCUUUAUAAAGUGGGCAUAGCUCUUGUUGGGAGAGUUAAAUGUGGUAAUGCAUGUAAAGAAUUUAGCAGGGUGCUUGGAACACAAUAGAAAUUCAGUUGAGUGUCUUAAAAAGUAAAAAAUAAAAUAAAAUAAAUUUGGGCACCUGGGUGGCUCAGUCGGGUAAGCGUCUGCCUUUGGCUCAGUCAUGAUCCCAGGGUCCUGGGAUUGAGCCCCGCAUGGGGCUCCCUGCUCAGUGGGGAGCCUGCUUCUCCCUCUCCUUCUGCCUGUGGCUCCCCCUGCUUGUGUUCUCUGUCAAAUAAAUAAAUUAAAUUAAAUAUUUUUUAAAAAAUAAAAAUUAAAAAUAAAUAAAUAAAUUUGACCAGUGGGUCAAAAGGUGUCUUCUAUUCACCCCAUCUGAGUUUUUGAGAAACAUCUUUAAAUGGCCACGUUAAACCACGUAUCCUGCAGUGUGAAAAUAGCAAAAGUAGCACUGAAUUGUCUGUGUUGUGCAGCUUAUUCUCUAAGACCUACCAAAUCACAGUCACUGUGGGAGUCUUUAGAAUAAGUCUUGUAUUAUAUACUGCUUAUCUGCAAAAGCUCAGUGUACCCCACCAAUCUAAUUUUCACAGCAUCCAUCAUUCUUUGUUAUACUUUGUGACACUGAAGGAAAAUGAUUUAUCCUAGAACUGAAAGGAGAGAAAAGUGAGCUCUGUGAUGCAAUGUGGACUAGCUUAAUGAAAAUGGUAACGGAAGAACCCUUGCCAGAAUAAAUUUAGAAAGAAAAACUUGGCCGAAUUUUUAUAUUUUGUAAAAAGUGGAAGAACACCAUAUUUACAGAGUGACUCCUGAGAUUUAUUCUGAUUAAAAACUGCAUUUAGCUGAAUUAACAAAACCAUCAUCUCUCAUCACCCAAGAGGACCAAAGCACUGGAAGGUGGUAACUUAAGAGAAGGGGCCCCAGUGAAUGUCCCCAUUACAAGCUAACUGACCUAGGCCAGCUCUCUACGGAAAGCACAAAAUCGGGCAUACCUCGUUUCCUUGCAUUUUGCCUUACCUCACUUCACACAGACGGUGUUCUUUACAAAAUGGAAGGUUUGUGGCAGCCCUGCAUCAGGCAAGUCUAUCGACACCAUUUUUCCAACAGCAUAUGCUCACUUCUUGUCUCUGUGUCAUAUUUUGGCAAUUCUCGUAAUAUUUCAAGUUUUUCAUUAUUAUUGUAUUUGUUAUGGUGAUCUGUGUUCAGUGACUACCACAUGUUGAAAGCUCGGAUGACAGCAGUUUUAAGCAAUAAAGUAUUUUUUAAUUCAAAUAGGUACAUUGCUUUUCUAGACAUAAUGCUACUGCACACUUAGUAGACUGCAGUAUAGUGUGAACAUUAAUUUUUUUCUUUUUACGUUGACCCUAGUGUAAACAUAACUUUUAUAUACACCGGAAAACCAAACCACUCAUUUGAUUUACUUUAUUGUUGAUAUUCAUGCUAUCGUGGAGGUCUGGAACCAAGCCUGUAAUAACUCCGAGGUAUGCCUGUAUCAGUUUUAAAACCAGUUGACUACUAGGAGAAUAACGUAUCUGUGGAUCUGAGAUCUUGCUGCCCCAUUCCUUUCCUUCCCAGUCCAUUUGAAAACAGCCAAGAAGAGAACUCCAAGAAGCUUCUAUGCCUAUUUCUCAUCAUUCUUAUUCUGACAUGAUUUACUAAAAAAGUGUUCACCUUGGUUGCAGAGUAGAUGGCCAACAGUGGAACUGGGGCUAUGCCACUGGCAGAGGAAAUGUUCAGAAUUGCCCCUUUAGAUCUAAAAAGGAAAAUGCACCAAGUAAACAGAAGGAAAUCACAGACACAAUGGCUUGUAAAUUAGUGACAUAGAAUUAUUUUAAACAGAAGAACAUAGCUGUUUUUCUAACACACACAUCUCCCCUCACCUUUCAGCAGCACAGAUAUCCUUGGUCAGUGAAUGAGGCAUAACUCAAUCAACUAAAAAUAGCUCUUGUCUGCAAUUAGCUCAUUUCUGUUUUAGUAAUCCGGGGCAUGACUGGACCAGAGCUACAGUCUCCUCCAGCUGAUCUCUCCUGUCGGAGGUCUUCUCUGGCCACAUCACCAAGAAUUCUCGCUCUUAGAAACACUCAUAAUCCUUGCACGUCUUUAUUUUGGCCUGCCAGCACAUACUACCUUGCUGUAGCAUUUAAUCAUCGCAUAUGUAUAAAUGUUUUUCUCCCUCAACAAAACCCUAAGCUUCUGCACAUCAUAGCCCUUGUCUUACACUUUUCCUCAAAACCCCCUGCACAGUCCUGAGCAUGUAACAGGUACUUAAUAAAACCUCCUGGUGAUGCGUGAAUGGUUAUGUUCUGCCCUCCUACUUCCUCCAGGUUGUAGAUAUUCAGUCACAAAACAAAGAGCGGACUAUAAAAUUUUGUGACUCUACAGGAGAUCAAACCAUAUUCUUUGCCAAAAGGCCAAGCUCAAUUUCUACUGUAACUUCUGGAGACUACUGAAAGCGAGAAGUCAGAAAGUUACCAGGAAUUACUCAUUUUACUAAUAAAUGAAAAUUAACUGGAGGAAAGCAAUGCUGUAAAUAUAAAUAAAUAAAUAAAUAAAUAGUUGUCAGCAAGCACAUAAAGGUGGGUAAAGUGUGGAAUUAGGGUUUUAGGAAUUUUCAACAGAAUUAAGAGCCAACUCUUCCCUCCUCAAAUCCAUUCUUCUCGGAGUAGUGGGUGGGGUUUCAGUCCCCUUCAGCUACCGCAAGCAACCCUACCUACCUCCUGUCCUCCAGGUGAGGCUCCUUUGCUUCCACUCAGCUUCCCCUUCUUCUUUUUCUGAAUUUACCUCCCCCAAGACCUUUUUUUUUCAGUAUUUUUUUAAAAAGGACUAUGUAGAUCCAUUUUAGGCAAAAUAACAAAAGAAACAUGAUUAAAUGGAGUCUAAGUUAUUUUAGACAUAAAUCUGAAAAAAAAAAAAAAAAAUCCCCAAGGUCACCCAGUCCAUCUGUCAGCCUCUAGGCGAGAUGCCAUUUCAACCAUCAAACAGAAGUCUGGACCCUCCGCUUACUGUGUCCCUGGAAACAAGUUGUUGUCUUUUGUUAUUAUUUUUGAACCCAAGUCCUUACUAGUAAUACACACGUUCUAAGCAGUGAAAUCUUGGUCAUCAAAAUCAAAUCUCAAAUUUAAAAAUGUUAUAUUGGGGUUUAAAGAAAGUUGGAAAUAUUUAGUCAAUGCAUUGAUUAUAUCAUUCUUGUACGUUUUGCUUGUAUCUCAGAGACAGAAAAGCCUUUUGUUUUUAAAUAUUGGUAAAGGAGUAAGGGUGUCUAUCAGGAGUUAGGACCCAAUCACUCUAAGGCAAAAACUAGUAAUUAGGAAUGAAUAUCUAAGAUUUCGAUUUUAUCUGUAUUUGUGAGAAACUCCUCUGAUCAAAAUGGACAAAAGCGACUUUUGUUACUAGAGACUUUUAAUAGAGUAUUAAUUUAUGAUGUUUAAAAUAUCUCUAUCUUUUUAGGGUGUUGAAAAUGUUCUCAAAUUAGAUUGUGGGAAUGAUGGCACAACUUGGUGAACACACUGGAAACCACCAAAUUGUAUACUUUACAUGGGUGGAUUUUAUGCUGGAUGAAGAAAAUGCAGCGGAGAGUUGCAAGGUCCAAGGGGAGGACAGCCCCUACCUGGAAGGAGUCUGAGAUCCCUGAAUGACUGGGUAGAGCACAGCCCCGACCACUGAUCCACACUGGCUGUGUAUCAGGAGGAAAAAAGUCAACCUUUAGAGUGGUUUGCUGACCCAAUUCAGGAUACGCCCACAGGGCCUCAAACCAAACCAGAUGGAGCCAAGCCAGAGAAAAAGCUCAUUUCAGAACUGAUCCUUUCAACACUGUAGCUACCUCCCCCGUUUUCAGAUUAAGUAACUCUUUAAACUUGCUUACAUGUUUCCUAAGAUGUGCCUUUUUAUGGGAACACACCAUAAUUGCUCAAUAUAUAGCCACUGAAUGUUCAGGCAAGUGUGGGACACAGUCAGGUCCAAGUGCAAAUCCCAGCCCUUCCACUUACCAGUGGUGUGACCUUGAGUUACUUCCUUCCCUGCAGAGUACGUAGGGAUUAAAUAAAGAAGGCAUCUACAUUACAGGUUAUUCUAUUCUGAAUCUCAAAUGAGGUCAUGUAUACAAUGGACCCAGCGCAGAGCUCGUCACACAGCAAGCCUCUGAAGAGAAACUGGCGUACCUCACUGCCAGCAUGCACUAUUCUUUCAGCAUGUAGUGCCACUACGUAUGUAGGCCUCCUUUAAGCAUGUCGUGCCUGACACAGUUUAGAGCCAAAAAUAAUGACAAAGUUUGAGGUCAUCAAGUUCAACCCACAACACAAGUUUAUGGAUAGUUCCAUCAAUAUUGAAAAAUACCUCAGAGGGGAUACUCUUGGGGUAAUGGAAUUGUUCUAAAAUUGGACUUAGUGACGAUUACACAACUCUGAAUUUCUUUACCAUUUAAUUAUAUACUUAA